rnacentral:misc_RNA from 1 species
AAACCUCUCACGCCCCGCGUUUUAACGAGCGCGCGUGGCUGUGGACCGUGGCCGUCGGCCGGCUUUCAUAGUCGGCCCGGCCGAAAUACAUGCGGAGCGCCUCUGCUGCCCGCGACGACCGAGCGUUGUAGACCCCUCGCUUGAUCGGCGUGAGCGCAGGCUCCCAACCCUAUCU